UACGUAGGAUGCAAGCGUUGUCCGGAUUUACUGGGCGUAAAGGGCGCGCAGGCGGCUCAUUUUGUCAGGCGUGAAAGCCCCGGGCUUAACCUGGGAACUGCGUUUGAUACGGAUGGGCUAGAGUUCGGGAGAGGAGAGUGGAAUUCCCAGUGUAGAGGUGAAAUUCGUAGAUAUUGGGAAGAACACCGGUGGCGAAGGCGGCUCUCUGGACCGAGACUGACGCUGAGGCGCGAAAGCGUGGGGAGCAAACAGG
rnacentral:rRNA from 1 species